GAUCUUCUCCCCAUCGCGGUCGUUUUCUCGCUCUCCUCUCCGGCGAUCUCGUCUUCCAAUCCUUCAGCCUUCCUUUCUAAUCGCUCAUCGAACGCUCCUCCCUCUCGAUCUCAAUCUCCUGCCACUGAUCUCCAAUACCUAAACCUUUAUCCUACUCUAUUCCUUUGAUCUCCGUAGAGAUCCCUCGGUUUCCUUUCGAUUCGCUGCCUCUUUCGCCCUCGGAAACGCUAAUCCGGCCUCUCGGGUCCGGAUCUCUGCUUCUUACUACAUCAGGUGCUGUGCGGAUGGCGAGCGGCAACGUGGAUCUGCCGGAUGAUCCCUCCAUCACAAAGCCGGUCGAGGAGGUGUGGGCCGGCAAAGGACCAACACGGAGGAGGUAAAUCAUGAUGACUGAGCCGGCAAGUGGCGGGGGGAGAGCAGACACGGGGUGCAGGGAUUUUCCCCCCGCUAGCCCCGAGAAUCGACCCAAAACCUUUUACGACAAUCAACCUGCAACUUACCAACUCAGCUAUGUCCAUGGGGGUCAGGUUUCGCUAUUCAUGCUUGACUCUGGUGCUGAGGUUCAGGCAGCAAACUCUUUUCUUUCCUCAUCUGAUCAUCUCUCUACUCGACUUUAGAUAGAGUUUCUAGGGGUUUUAUCGGUUAGCGUCUCCCUGAUCUAUCGUCACUCCGCCGUAGGAGGCAUUGUCGUUGGGGAUCCUCUUCGGUCCUUGCUUCGAUCACCAUGGUGAUGCUAAUAUGCUUUUGAUUAUCAACGCAUUUGUUUUUUUUUUCCUUCUGGAUUUGCUUGUUUGUGCCAAACAAAGAGUUGCUUGAUUCAUUUGUUAUUCGAUGCAUUUGUUCCGUUCGUCUCCCUUUCAACAAACUCGAGUGAUUUGGUUGAGAGUGAGUUAAUUGAAGGUCAUGAAUAGAGCUCUGAGUUAUUUCCUUGCAUUAUGCAUAAUGGAUUGUUGAUUUUGACGAUGCUCUGAAAUCUAAGGAGCCCUUGAGCGCGAAGCGAAAUGAAUAUACCUGUGGAAAGUGUAGGCGGUAACCAGAGAUCAGGAUGCUCAUGGUAGCACUAAUUUAUUAUUGUUAUUAUUAUUUUUUUUCAAUUUUUGUCGUUAGAUGUAAAGAAUUUUGUUAAUUUUGUUAGACAUAAAGAUAAGUAUAUUUUUUUUUA